rnacentral:lncRNA from 1 species
CUGGUGGUGGUGUUACUGUUGAGAUCUUCUGGCAAGUUGUUCAGAUCCAGUGGGUUACCACUGCUGCUUGUAGGCCUCCUCCUGCGCAUUUGUAAUCAAGAAAUUAAAUAAAAUUAAAGCGGUCAGAUGAUCAUUAUAAAAAUGACAGGUAUUUUAGAAUAUGGAUAUGCAAAGAGAAAACUGUGGGGAAGACCGCCUACAUGGUACCGACAGAGAGAGCUGAGAGAGGGGCAGGAUGGGAUGGGAAAGCUUAUAACUCAAAUGAGCUAGAGAUCAGUGAGUGUGAGGUAUGAAGCAAACUGAUCAGAUAGAGAGAGAUAGAUAGAGACGGAGGAGUUAACUACAGCUUGGGAUAUUAUAACACUUUCAGUUUGAGAUUGAGAGGGGGACUUCA